CAAGGAUUCCCCUAGUAACGGCGAGUGAAGCGGGAAGAGCUCAAAUUUGUAAUCUGGCACUUUCAGUGUCCGAGUUGUAAUCUCGAGAAGUGUUUUCCGCGCCGGACCGCAUACAAGUCUGUUGGAAUACAGCGUCAUAGUGGUGAGAACCCCGUAACUGAUGCGGAUGCCCGGUGCUUUGUGAUACACUUUCGAAGAGUCGAGUUGUUUGGGAAUGCAGCUCAAAUUGGGUGGUAAAUUCCAUCUAAAGCUAAAUAUUGGCGAGAGACCGAUAGCGAACAAGUACCGUGAGGGAAAGAUGAAAAGCACUUUGGAAAGAGAGUUAACAGUACGUGAAAUUGUUGGAAGGGAAACGCUUGAAGUCAGACUUGCUAUUUGGAGUUCAACCCAUGGUGUAUUCUUCAAUUUGCAGGCCAGCAUCAGUUUUUGGGGGUGGAAAAUCGUAGUUUGAAUGUAGCAGUUUCGGCUGUGUUAUAGCUUUCUACUGGAUUCAUCUUCGGGGACUGAGGAACGCAGUGCGCUUUUAGCAAGGCUUUCGAGCUUUACGCACUUAGGAUGCUGGUGGAAUGGCUUUAAA
rnacentral:rRNA from 1 species